UUUAAAUAAACGCGCAGCAUGGAAGACAGUUAAAAGGUUAAAAGGUUAAAAUCGCUAUUCGAAAUGAAUAUAUUCGGUAAUACAUUCUCGCGUGUAAUUGUGAAACAAUUGUUUGACUGGACAGCUAACAUGAUCGUACUUACAUACUGCAACAAAAAUAAUUUAUUUUUUCCGAACUACUGCAAAUCGUGAAGAAAUUUAUAGACCUCCGAGGAUAUCUCAACAUUCAAAAUAUAAUUUGAAAUGAAAAUCAAGAAAAAGAAUAUUCAAAGUUGAAUGCUUAUCAAAAAACAAUGAAUUAUUUUAUAAUAUGCAUGAAGCGCGUUUUGAGAAGUCAAAUGUUCUACGUAUGUGUAAUUAAAAUAAUUACAUUUUAAACUGCAGUAAUUUCAUCGAAUAUUAUUCAUCAGGAUAUAUAAAAAUAAACAGAAAACGACGUUUGCAACCAAAAUUCAACAUAAAAAAUGUCAUAAAAUCCAGUAAAAAGCCAUUAACUGCAAUUUUACAAAAACAUCCUCGUGUAACAAGAGAACAUACUGAUUUCGAUAAAUAUCCCUACAAAAUGACGUGUCCAAAUUGUUUAAGUUAUAUCAUCACCGACACGCGCAUUCACAAUACUCUUGUAACACAUUCUGUAGCUGCUUGUUUAUUUCCUGUUUGUCUAUGUAUGCUACCAUAUUGCACUGAUGAAUUCAAAGAUACAACACAUUAUUGCCCCAACUGUAAAAUUUACUUAGGAACAAAAUUCGGAGCCGGAAGAAAAUUAUGCCGUUUCUUAAAAUUAAAUGAAAUAUUUGUUUGAUUAAUGCUAACAUUAAACAUUGAUCAAAUAUCGAUUUGUACGAGUAUUAUUGACUCCCGCCUGUAUUUAUAAACAAUAUUCACAAAAAUCAAAUCUAAACUAAAGAAUUGAA